rnacentral:rRNA from 1 species
AGAUUGAACGCUGGCGGCAUGCCUAACACAUGCAAGUCGAACGGGAGUAGCAAUACUCUAGUGGCGGACGGGUGAGGAAUACGUAGGAAUUUGCCCUUAAGUGGGGGAUAACCCGGGGAAACCCGGAUUAAUACCGCAUGACCUCGAAAGAGCAAAGUGGGGGAUCGCAAGACCUCACGCUUUUGGAGAAGCCUACGUCGGAUUAGCUAGUUGGUGAGGUAAAGGCUCACCAAGCCGACGAUCUGUAGCUGGUCUGAGAGGACGACCAGCCACACUGGGACUGAGACACGGCCCAGACUCCGUACGGGAGGCAGCAGGUGGGGAAUUUGGACAAGUGGGCGACAAGCCUGACUCCAGCCAUUCCGCGUGCAGGAUGAGGCCCGUGGGUUCUAACGUGUCGUUUAGUACGGAACGAACG